AAGUGGAGCAAGGGGAACACGCAUUUAUUGCUGGUGGGAAUGCAAACACGUACAAGUUAUGUGGAAAUCAGUGUGGCAGAUCCUCAGGAUGGUGGGAAUGGAUCUAUCCCAAUAUCCAGCAACAGAACUCUUAAGUGUACACCCAAAUGAUGCUUCAUCCUACCACAGAGACACUUGCUGUCCCGUGGUCAUUGCUGCUCUAUUUAUAACAGCCAGAAACUGGAAAUGAUGUAGGUGUCUUUCAACAAAAGGAUAAAGAAAAUGUGAUACAUUUACACAAGGGAGGAUUAAAAGGCAGAACCAUGAAGCUGCAGGUAAGUGGAUGAAUUAAAAAAAAAAAACCCACACACCCUGAAUGAGGUAACCCAGAUUCUGAAAAUAAUUAUGGGAUGUAUUCACUGAUAUGUGGAUGUUAGCUUUUAAGUCAAUGAUAACCAAACCACGAUCCACAGAACCACAGAGGUUUGAUAAAGAGUAAGAUGAGGGUGAUGAGGAGAUGAUGGUUCUUUCUCCCAAGGAAAAAGAAAUAGAGAUAGUUAUGGAUGAGGUGGGGCAGAGACUGGGAUGAGAGGAUCAAAUGGAGAGAGGGAAGGAGGAGGAGGAUCAAAGGGGAUGCUACAGGGAGAGGCAGCUAAAAGUAAGGACCAUGGUGGGUGGACAGUAUGGAAACCUCAUCAGUAGAAGCUUUCUAAAACAUGCACAUAUAUGAAGGUAAUUUAAAUUAAAUCAUCAAAUAAUGGGGAGAUGGACCCCCAGCUGGCCAUCUCUUGUCACUAAAUAAAGCUUCCAGUACUAGAUUCAGUUACAUCAAAUUGAUUUGUUAGCCAGAGGGAUCCCAUGGGAAUCCUCAAACAACCCAGGCUAUUGACAAAACUAUAGAUUACUCCCCACAACUGAUGGCAAGGACCCAUUGCUAAAAACAACACUCACACAACUCUUUGAAUAUGGAGAAGCUGAGCUGGUGCCUACACAGAGCCUUUGCUCCUAUUUUGUAGUGUCUUUGUUAUAGGAAGGUGCUCCGCAUGCUACCAAAGAAGAAUUGUAACCACCAACCCAGCCACAAACCCUUGGAUCUACAGUGGUGUCCUGGCUGCAAGAUAAGCUAGGGCAAUGGUGGCACUGAGUCUGUGGGAAUGACCAACCAAUGUCUGGUCUGACUUAAGGCCAACUCCACAGUAUGGAACCUGUACCUAACGCUGUUAGGGUGACCAAGAACCUGAGAUUAGGUAAAUAAUAUAAAUAGAUAAAUAGAUUGAGGUAAAACUCAAUAUUAUUGUUCAAAACAACAAACAAACAAAAAAUACAAAAACAAAACAAAAAAACAACCCAACCCAACCAACCAAACAACAAAACAACCCAAACUUAGUAAUGAGAUGACUCUUAAUGAUAUCUUGCUAUAGUCAUAGAUCAGUCUUGCUCAGCCCUAAAUGGGUGUCUUGGUCAAAUCCUUUCCUUCAGGGCUUGGGUAACUCUGAGGAAGAGAGGUGUAAAAAGUGUUAAGAGCCAAAGAGGGCAGAGACACCAAGAAGACAAGGCCCUCUGGGUCAGCACGAUGACGUCACAGACUGGGCAGCACGCAUGGCUCAGCACCAGAGCCAAAAGGACAGUCUCCAAUUGAUAACCAUACUAUAGAAAAUUUGGUUUCCCCCAAGGGAGUCUCACUGGGGAAGAAGCUACUCUUAAGGGUAGGCUGCAUGCCCAGCAGUAGACGGCCAACAGGAGACAAACUCAAUAGCAUCUUUGGAGGUUCCUGGUCUCAUAAUAUAGUGCUAGGGCUCUUCCUGUUUUUUUUUUAAUUAAUUCUUACUAUAUUAAUAUAAUUAAUUAUAUAUCAAGUUUAUAAUUAAUGAUAUAAUAAUAUAUUAAUUAUAUAAUUACAUAUAUGUUUCUUCUUAGUGUUUUCAUGGGGUUCCUGAGUGUGCAAAUGAGUGAGUCUCUCUUUUCUUGUGCCUUCUCUUGGGCUUUUUUCCCCCUUUCUGUUUAUUUAUUUUGACCAAUUCUGAUGUGUUAGUUUUGUUUUUAAUCUUAGAUAAUUUUUUUACUUUAUUAUUAUCCCACAGAAGCCUGUUUGUUUUCUAGUGAGAGACAGAAAGGGGGGGUGAGUUUGGAUGAGAGGGGAGGAGAGGAAGGACUGGGAGGAGUAGAGGCGGGAAACUGUAAUCAGGAUAUAGUGUAUGAGGGAAAAACCAUCUAUUUUCAAUUAAAGGAAAAGAAAAAGUAAACAGAACCAACAUUGGUACAUGCAUGUCUUUUCAUUUUUACAAAUAAAAUGUCAUAAAAGUAGUUGGCAAGUUUUCCCAGUACAUUUUAGAAUAUAGGUAAGGACAGAAGAGGAGAGAAAACUCAGCUGCAGCAUUCUCGGGGACCUAAUAUGUCUCUCCCUGUGUGGAUUAAGAAGUGGGCCCUGCAUGCCAUUUUGGAGGAAACACAGAAUAGCUAAUUUACCCUUUGGUUUGUACUGUUCACCAACGUGAUAACUUUGAAGUUAACAAUGUGGAAUAAGCUUUGGCAGAGGAACGAGACCCAUCAAAUCCUUUGACUGAUAUGGACAAAACCCCUAAAACUGAGGUAGCUCAUGCUGUUUCUAGUGAUUUUUUUUUUGGAUUAUGUGUUAAAACAAUGACAAUCCCUGCUGUUUGUAAUAAAAAACACUUUGUGGUAGUGUCCAAAAUGCAUUUCCAUUUACAAAAUACAUUAUUGCCCAGCUUCUAACUAGCCUGGAGGGCAAAGAGUUU
rnacentral:lncRNA from 1 species